rnacentral:lncRNA from 1 species
UGCCGCUAAAACAAGCGAUUAGAGCUCUCCAGUCUAAUCGGAAUUAAAAAUCCUCUACUUCCCUCUCUGGGAUGAAAAUGGAGGAUUCUAAUUGGUUUAUUUCCUUAUGCGUUAUGCAAAAGUCUGUGUUUCUGUCCUAUGAGAGUACCAGCGUGCUGGCCUAAAAUGGCGGCGAUGCUGGCAACAAGGUGGGAGUGCCAUUCGCGCUUCUCUAUAUUUUAGGACUCCGAUGGUGUUCCAUCGCGCACAACGUUUAUGUAUAUGUUUAUGUCAAUUUUUCGUCAUAUUUCAUUGGUUCCUUGACGCCAUGAUGACAAAUGACAGUUUUGAUGCUACAUUGAUACCACUUUAACUGACACUACGCUUACGCGAGCGUUACUUCUAGUAGGAUUCUCACAGCCAUAAACCGGUCCUAAACUACUGCACAGUUUAUUGGUGCAGCCUGAAACACCUGACGAAAUAUCCACAGUGAUGCACCAUCUUACUAAAUAAAAGGAGAAAUGAUAGAAAACGAAAGAGGAAGAUCGAUAGGGCAUACAGUGCAUAUACUUGGAACUUGGAAGGCCUAUAGCCAAGAGAUUAGCUUAGUAACUAACCAAAUGAAACAAAUAGUAAUUAUAAAUACGUAUUCCACGGCUCUUGCAAUAUUAAAAAUAAAAGAAAUUGUUUAGUAAAAAUAAUAAGAAAGAAAAAAGAAAAUAAUUAUUGCAAAAAUAUACAGAGAAUAAUGCUGACAGAUAUAGAGAAGAAACGUUAAUAAUAAGUGAAUUACAUAAAUUAAAUAUUCUUUCUCUUCGUCUCAUCGCUCAAUUAAUUUAGUUAAAAUAAAGAAAAAAAGAAAGAAUCUUUUAAAUAGCCGUUGAAUAUUUUGAGACGCAAGAGAAAAACAUUACAAAACUGUAUAUAUUUUUGCGAAGUCUUUAUAUCAAUUCUUUUUCACAAAUUCAUUAAGCACAACUAAUGAAAUAUGUAUCUUGAUAAAUAUAUUCUGUUUCACUAUUUUUCAAUAAUAUAAGGAGUCAUGAUGGAUUUCUGCGAUAUAAAAAGCAGUGGAAAAUCAUUUAGAUAAAGAAUCACGAUGGGUUUGAAAUUAGCCACAAGAGUUGCCGAUGUGGCAAACUCGCGUGAACACGCAGCCGACUUCUUUGUGUUCGAGACACGGCCAAGAAACCGGUUUCAUCAGCGAAGGGUCACUUCUCUUCUCUCUUUCUCUUUCCUUCUUCGUAAAUGAACUAAGCGUGAAAUACACAUGCGGUCUGUUCUGUUUCAAUAGAGUUCAACUAGCAUGGGUGAACUGGUUAUCGCCGAUCGUAUGUAAUCGACACGCAGACAAUACGCAUGCUAUUACCUAUCGCGACAUGUGCAGAUGUACUCGUGUAUGCACGUCAUACUUACUUUCUCACGCUAAUUACAAAAGACAAGUGAUUUAAUUCAGGAUUACAUCUACUAUAUUUAGUUGAAAAAUUAAUUUAUGUAAUACCAGGGUUGGGUAACUUUAUUUUUUUUCUUUAACUAAGUUAAGUUUAAAGUUAAUGACCCAGAAAUUAACUAAGCUUACGUUAAAAGUUACUUAUAAACACAAAAAUUAAACUCAAUUAAAGUUAAGUUAAAAACUUAAAUUAACUUAUUAAAGUUAAAAAGUUAUAAUUAACAUAUUUUUUUGAUGCACUGCGACCAACCAUUUUCACGACUUUAAUAUUGAUGAAUUAUUUUAACUUGUAUAAAAAAGUUAAUGCAUUUAAAAAUAACUAGUUUAAGUUACAAGUUAACAUAUAUAUUUAAAAUUAACGAAGUCAAGUUAAAAGUUAAUAACUUUUUAACUUAACUUUGAACUAUUUAACUAGUUACUACCCAACCCUGCAUAUAAUAAUAUUUCCUGCACACACAAUAUUUACCAAUUAAUAGUGUGUACAGAAUAGUCCAUUUAAUAUGACCGAUAUGCUAAUACUUUAAAAGAUACAUUGCAUCAGAAAAUGUUUAAAACAAAAGUUAAAGAGUUACAAAGGACACAUAACAUGGUAAUAUUUGUACAACCUUGAAUGUAAACAUCAAAGUUAUACGAGAGAAUAUACCGUCAAAUUUUAUUUUU